rnacentral:tRNA from 2 species
GCCCGCUUAGCUCAGUUGGUAGAGCAGGGGACUCUUAAUCCCUUGGUCACAGGUUCGAGUCCUGUAGCGGGUACCA